CAGUAGCCACGGGAAUACAGAGGAUGCAAGCGUUAUCCGGAAUGAUUGGGCGUAAAGCGUCUGUAGGUGGCUUUUCAAGUCCGCCGUCGAAUCCCAGGGCUCAACCCUGGACAGGCGGUGGAAACUACCAAGCUGGAGUACGGUAGGGGAGAUUGGAAUUCCUGGUGUAGCGGUGGAAUGCGCAGAUAUCAGGAGGAACACCGAUGGCGAAGGCAGAUCUCUGGGCCGUAACUGACGCUGAGGAGCGAAAGCGUGGGGAGCGAACAGGAUUAGAUACCCCUGUAGUCCCUGUCUCUUAUAC
rnacentral:rRNA from 1 species